UCUUCCUUUCCGCUUACCGGAAGAGCAACAUUUGCUGUGGGAUGAAUCUGGACUCUCUGGAUGACCUGAGACUUAAGCGCCCUCUUUCAACAUUUCCUUAGUACCCAGGUUGAUUUCAGCUAUGCGCAUGUUUCAUCUUGUUCAAAGCCAAGCUCCUGGAAUGAACCUGGUGAAGACGGGAAGUGCUGGGAAGCUAAACUCAUGUUUGUUUUGGAAGCAAAGGGCCAGUGCAUUCCAGUUUUCACUGUAGGGAGGCAAGUCUGGGUAAUGUUGCAACGCUGGAGCUGCGAGAGUGGAGAAGGGGGGACUGGUCUUCUUGCUACCUCAGCUCCAGUUGUUUCCCAGGCUGAGUUUUGGGGUAACAUCUGUGACAUCAGGUAGUCUUUGAAGACACACAAUAUAUAACCAGUCUGGCUCGUUUCCAAGAUCUUUCCUCACCUUUGUCGGCUCCUUCUCUGGCUCAUCCAAUUGGCUCUGUCUCACCUCCUCUGUGGGUCUCAGACAUGGAACUCACUUCUGGAAGCUACUCAUGGUCCUUGGCUCAUCAUCCCCUCCCUUCAUCUUCUAGGAACAUCAUCAUCCUUUCAUGAAGACAGAGCUCCCAGGAUUUAAUCACAGUUCAGAGUUUCUAACCCCCAGAGCUGCUGUCAAGGCAAUCAAGUGUCCAACACAUAAACUUUGGAGGUUCCACUCCAGCAAGACCAGGCAUUUUGUCACAGCAAAGAAAAAAAUUGACUAACAACUGUAUUCCCAGUUCAGUCAUCCUCCACGGUUUGUGUGAGCUGGCCAGCAACAAUGCAUUCUGUAGCGGCCUCCAUCCCCUCGGCUGCUGCUUGGUUGGUGGAGGUGAUGGGUGGCGCUAAACUAAUUAGACUCCGGAAUUUCAUCUCUUGAUUAUAGGUGGACUUGAAAUGAAAACGGGCCCUCAGCAAGAAUUGUGCUGUCGGGAAGUCGAUUGUGCUACCCUUUAAAGACCAUACCAUGUUUCCCUUUGGUGGUUUGCCAACCUGGUUUAAUAGUAAAGGAAUCCAGGCCUCCAGAAUAUAAGCUCCUAGGUAAUGAUAAUUCCACCCGCAGAGUCAAUUCUCAAAAAAAUGUCUAUGAUAGCCAUGCAGUCUAUGGUGUUGAUAGAGGAGAAAGCUAUCAGCCACUUUAAUUUUAACAAUCCAGUCACUUACAGAAGACCAUUUUCAACCUUCAUCUUCUCAUAGAUGUCAAAGGGAUGAAGCUGGGAUUUCUCUCCAUCCCUUCCUACUGCUACUCAAGUUUAAGCUGGAGUUAGAGGUCAAAAGUCAAAGUUCCCUUUAUUUGGCAUGGCCAUGCCCCCAAUCUCAGGUCACUGCUGCUGGCAACAGGUACAUUCUUAGGAAAGAGAACACAUAAACCUGCUUCUUUACAAUAUCACCAUUGGGCUGAGUGUGUCACUUUCUUUCAAAUGGCUGAGAAUGCUGCUCGGCAUAUAGUGUCUCUUCCAGG